rnacentral:tRNA from 1 species
GGUAAGGUGACUGAAUUAUAGGUGGUAGAUUGUAAAUCUACUUAUGAGAGAGUUCUCCUUUACCA